ACAGUCCACCUGCCGCAUGGCCAGCGAGAGCUACCUGCGGGCACAGCCGGCAGUGCGACUGUUGCUGGGGGGGUUUCUCAGAGAAGUGAUGCUGAAGAGACCGGAAAAUAUCCUGGAGUUUGCAGCAGAAUAUUUCACUGACCCAGAGCUGCCCGGCAAGAUCCAGAAGCAGCUGCAAGAACUGGAGCAAAAGGAUUAAGUGAGCAGCACUGGCUGGAAGAGGGUCGCGUAUGCACAGGGGUUUCCACUCCUCCAAAUCGGGUUGUUAGUGCUCAGCUAAUAACAGUCAGCAAUACCUGGAGCUGUCUUAGUGCCUUUUUGGGUCGCUGCUCGCCACCAGCCCCUUCUGCCAUGAGGUCCUCUCCGGACACGAGACAAGAAAGCAUCGUCCAGGAGGAGGUGGCUGAGCCGCCGGGGGGUCUGAAGGGAAUCUCCGGAGAAGCUGGGGCGUGAG